UGCUAUCUGCUGACGAGCGGCGGACGGGUGAGUAAUGCUUGGGAAUAUGCCUUUGAGUGGGGGACAACAGUUGGAAACGACUGCUAAUACCGCAUAACGUCUACGGACCAAAGGGGGGGACGCUUCGGCACCUCUCGCUCAUUGAUUAGCCCAAGUGAGAUUAGCUAGUUGGUAAGGUAAUGGCUUACCAAGGCGACGAUCUCUAGCUGGUUUGAGAGGAUGAUCAGCCACACUGGGACUGAGACACGGCCCAGACUCCUACGGGAGGCAGCAGUGGGGAAUAUUGCACAAUGGGCGAAAGCCUGAUGCAGCCAUGCCGCGUGUGUGAAGAAGGCCUUCGGGUUGUAAAGCACUUUCAGCGAGGAGGAAAGGUUAGUAGUUAAUAACUGCUAGCUGUGACGUUACUCGCAGAAGAAGCACCGGCUAACUUCGUGCCAGCAGCCGCGGUAAUACGAGGGGUGCAAGCGUUAAUCGGAAUUACUGGGCGUAAAGCGUGCGUAGGUGGUUUGUUAAGCAAGAUGUGAAAGCCCCGGGCUCAACCUGGGAACUGCAUUUUGAACUGGCAAGCUAGAGUUUUGUAGAGGGUAGUGGAAUUUCCAGUGUAGCGGUGAAAUGCGUAGAGAUUGGAAGGAACAUCAGUGGCGAAGGCG
rnacentral:rRNA from 1 species